UACGUAGGGGGCAAGCGUUAUCCGGAUUUACUGGGUGUAAAGGGAGCGUAGACGGCUGUGCAAGUCAGAAGUGAAAGCCCGGGGCUCAACCGCGGGACUGCUUUUGAAACUGUGUAGCUGGAGUGCAGGAGAGGUAAGUGGAAUUCCUAGUGUAGCGGUGAAAUGCGUAGAUAUUAGGAGGAACACCAGUGGCGAAGGCGGCCUGCUGGGCUUUAACUGACGCUGAAGCACGAAAGCGUGGGUAGCAAACAGG
rnacentral:rRNA from 1 species